GUGGUGAUGCCUUUAAGCUCUGGACAAGGAUCUGCGGGAUGAUUCAAGUUGUGCAGAUAUGCCAUGUUCGUGUUUAAGACUAUCUUUCUUGUCCUAUUGUGUAGUAGAUUCCGUGGGUUGCUCCUUCUAAGUUGUCUGAUGGUUUAUGAGUUUAAGCGCAUUACUGUUCAGUACUAUCAUACACAUGCCGCCGCCUUUCUUUUGAUUAGGAGAAAUUGGUCUUAGUGCACAAAAAUCCUGGCUAUGUCACUAUUCAGGAAUAAGAGAUGAAUAUGUAGUGAUUUCUGCAAUGCGUUCUUAUUGCAUAGUUUUUUUCUUCUUCAUAUGUUGUCCUCGUUCUGGUCCGCAUGGUUCCUCUGCUUCCUCUCCUGUCAUCCUCUUUCUUAUCUGUAUGCAGAAAACCAGCAUUGACAUUGCAAAACUGAAUUGGGGGCACAACUUCUCAUGUAUAGUGAGAACAUAAUCUAAGGAGUUGUUUGGUUGCAAGAAUGAUAUCUUUAUCGUAAUCAAAUCGCGGAGUUUUAGGAGGUGUAACGAUUUGUUUGAAGUUUGUUUGGUUCGUCCAAGUAAAGGAAUGGCCAUUACGCUGCUCUUCUUUCACUUAGACUCUUGCCCCGUUUGCCGACCACCCUCCUCCCUGUUAGGCUACUCAUAGUGGGGAGUAUCAUAUACUAGUGUCAUGCAUACGAUACUAGUGCAUGAUACUACUUCAUAGUGCAUAGUACUCCUUUCCGGUUUAUUGGGCUCAUCUCAUUUUCUUGGUUUUUCCAUAUUAUAAGUCUUAUUUUCACUUCUUUCCGCCACAUGUUCACAUUUCAGGGCGGUGACGGGGAGGCUGCGGUUGCGUCGUCCUUCGUAAGAAGACCGAAGAGCUCGAUCGAAAUCGGAGUGUAAAUCCAUUGCAGAAUUGCAAAGUCGUCUUUCACGCAGAUGGGAUCGACAAGUGGUGGUGCUAAAUGUGAGAGAAGGCAGAGUGCCUUUACCGGCGGCAGGCAGAGCGUCGUCCCUGGCGGCGGGGGCAAGUGCUGAGCCAUGAGGGCCCAGCGCUCCUUGCCUCAGGCGGUUCACCUGGAGGCGGACGUCGAGGUCGCCGUUGAGCUGCCUUGCAUGGCGAGUUCCGCAGUGGACUCUGGACUCCUCCCUUUCUUUGGUCCCAUGCUAGUGCAGACCAUAUAGGCCGAAGAGAUCCGACAAUUUUAACAACGGAUCAUUUGUAGUUGUAGGCUUGUAGCUGCUAUAGGCUUUCUUCUCUGAUUUUUAGAACAGAUUUGAGGAAGCAAUCAACUCAAAAAAUCAUGUAUUGUUGUGAAUUAUUAUAACCAUACUAUUCUUGAAGUUUCCUUAUACUGGUAAAUUGGUUUAUUUUCUUCUUACAAGGAGUGGUUAUCUGCUUGUGGAUGCAAAUUUUGGAAUCCAGUGAAUACUAGUUCAGUGGUGUAGGGAUUAUCUGAAUUUUGACAAGUGCAGCAGCCUUGGUGCUGUGUUUUC
rnacentral:lncRNA from 1 species